CCCCGAAGAGACAUGCUGUCGUGGCAAAGCACACAGUGGAUUCUGAGGACUUGGAACCAUCUCCUCCUGAGUGUAAGAUACUGCAUCCUACUGCAGAUGACGUCUUGUACGUAGAUUCUACCCAUCAGCUUCCAACAUCUUGCUGUCCUUCACAAUGUUGUCAUGGCUCCCAUGUAGAUAGGCAAACCUUCCUGAUUUUCAUGUUGACCAGAUGCCCAGAAACAGGAUCGCGGAGGCAAAGGGUGUGUCUCUACACUUGGUGCUUUGCUACCAAUGACUCAAAUACUUACCAGAAAGACUGUGCCUACCUACUUUCCCACUGGCUUCAUUUGAAGAGGUCUGUCUUUAUCACAGCGAUGAUUUUUUAUUUUAGUUUUGACUUCCAGAUUUUAAAAACAUUAUGGUGACAUACACAUAACACAAUAUUUACCACCUUAGCUACUUAAAAGUGUGCAGUUCAGUGGCCUCAAGCACAUUGACAUUGUUGUGCAAUGGUGGUGUUAUCACUGCCACCCAUCUCCAGAACUCUUGCAAAACGGACAGAAAGACAAACAUGGCAUGUUCUCACUUAUUUGUGGGAUCUAACAGUUGAACUCAAGGAUGUAGAGAGUAGAAGUUUGGUUACCAAAGGCUGGGAAGAGUAGUAGGAGCUGGUGGGGAGGUGGAAUGGUUAAUGAGCACACACACAAAAAAUGUUAGCAAGAAUAAGACUUACUAAGGCGUAUUUGAU
rnacentral:lncRNA from 1 species